rnacentral:rRNA from 1 species
AGAGUUUGAUCAUGGCUCAGAAUCGACGCUGGCGGCGUGCCUAACACAUGCAAGUCGAGCGAGAAAAGGGGAGCAAUCCUCUGAGUAAAGCGGCGCACGGGUGAGUAACACGUGGGUAAUCUGCCCUGAAGUGGGGAAUAACACCGGGAAACCGGUGCUAAUACCGCAUAUGAUCACGGUGUCUGCGGACACAGGGAUGAAAGGAGCAAUUCGCUUCAGGAGGAGCCCGCGGCUGAUUAGCUAGUUGGUGAGGUAAUGGCUCACCAAGGCUACGAUCAGUAUCCGGUCUGAGAGGACGGUCGGACACACUGGAACUGAGACACGGUCCAGACUCCUACGGGAGGCAGCAGUGGGGAAUUUUUCGCAAUGGGGGCAACCCUGACGAAGCAACGCCGCGUGGAUGAUGAAGUAUCUCGGUACGUAAAAUCCUUUCGACAGGGAAGAAACCGCAAGGUUGACGGUACCUGUAGAAGAAGCCCCGGCUAACUCCGUGCCAGCAGCCGCGGUAAUACGGGGGGGGCUAGCGUUGUUCGGAAUUACUGGGCGUAAAGGGCGCGUAGGCGGUCUGCUAAGUUGGAUGUGAAAACUCUGGGCUUAACCCAGAGCCUGCAUUCAAUACUGACAGGCUAGAGUUCUGGAGGGGAUAGCGGAAUUCCUGGUGUAGCGGUGAAAUGCGUAGAUAUCAGGAGGAACACCGGUGGCGAAGGCGGCUAUCUGGACAGAGUCUGAGCUGAGGCGCGAAAGCUAGGGGAGCAAACAGGAUUAGAUACCCUAGUAGUCC